GCCGGGCACAGUGGCGUAUGCCUGUAAUCCCAGCAGCUUGGGAGGUUGAGGCAGAAAGACCACAAGUCCAAAGCCAUUCCAGCAACUUAGCGAGGCCCUAAGCAACCUUUUUUGUGAAACUCUGUCUCAA
rnacentral:sRNA from 1 species